CGCUCAUAGAUGACGGCUGGAGAGGCUCCCAGGCCCCGUGCAGGGCGGCAGGUCCUGGCUUCCUAAUAGCGGACGCGCGAUGGACCCCGGCUCUGCAUGCAGACCCCUCUGGAAUGGAAGGAGGGCACUAACAGAGUUCUCAAUAGAAGGUAAAUGACCCCUGGAGUGAAGCUGUCCCAAUUUACAGUGCCCAACACCUGGAGAGUGACCAAGGUGAAGAAAUGCAGACAUAGUCGGAGAAAGCCAUGGGCAGCAGCAGGAAGCCAGAAGUCAUCAGAAUCCAGAAGAUAAAGGAGAGGACAUUGCAUGUGACACAAAAGCCAAGGAACCCAAGGACGGCCAGUCCACCAGAACACUACUGACCCAGGAGGAAGUCAAGGGAAGCAAGCCAAUGAAUCCCUGCUGUUUAAGCCAACCUGUUGUGUUGUGUACGUCACAGCAGCCUGGAACCCAAGACGCUAGCUGUGGCUUUUCUCUGGAUGUGAGCUAGCCAGUCACAAAGCAGCAGGCCUUGACUUCAGGUUUGAGUUUUAUCUUCCAACCAGUUCAGAAUCCAAGGAAGAAGCAGGGGUGAAGAUGGGGGUUAGUGGUCAGAGGCCCUUCAGUCUUGGCUCUUAGGGCCAGGGCUCUACCCCUUUCUAUUCAGAUGCUCAGAUUUCUCCCAAACCACCUGCCUCCUCCCUAUUACUUCUUCUUCCCCUUCUCAACUCUAGAGCAGAGUGUCACACAUUCACCCAUUCCGGAUGGGGCUGGAGUGGGAAUGACUUUGGAUCUUGCCUGUGUGACAUCUGCAAGACAAUCAGACCAUGCUCAGCCCUUGGGCUUCUCUGUGGGUCUCACGUUCCCUGAGAACUGCCUUCCUGAAUGUUCCCUGCUCAUUUCUUGGCUUCUGUGUGUGCCAAGGUCAGAGGGUGGUGGGUGGGGAGGGCAAGGGCCAUACACCCCCUUCUGCUA